rnacentral:rRNA from 1 species
GAACCCUUCGGGUUAGUGGCGGACGGGUGAGCAACGCGUGGGAAUCUGCCCUCAGGAGGGGGAUAACGGCUGGAAACGGCCGCUAAUACCCCAUAUGCCGAGAGGUGAAAUGAAUUUCGCCUGAGGAUGAGCCCGCGUCUGAUUAGCUAGUUGGUGAGGUAAGAGCUCACCAAGGCAUCGAUCAGUAGCAGGUCUGAGAGGAUGAUCAGCCACACUGGGACUGAGACACGGCCCAGACUCCUACGGGAGGCAGCAGUGGGGAAUUUUCCGCAAUGGGCGAAAGCCUGACGGAGCAACGCCGCGUGAGGGAUGAAGGCCUCUGGGCUGUAAACCUCUUUUCUCAAGGAAGAAGAUCUGACGGUACUUGAGGAAUAAGCCACGGCUAAUUCCGUGCCAGCAGCCGCGGUAAUACAGGAGUGGCAAGCGUUAUCCGGAAUUAUUGGGCGUAAAGCGUCCGCAGGCGGCCCUUCAAGUCUGCUGUUAAAAAGUGGAGCUUAACUCCAUCAUGGCAGUGGAAACUGUUGGGCUUGAGUGUGGUAGGGGCAGAGGGAAUUCCCGGUGUAGCGGUGAAAUGCGUAGAUAUCGGGAAGAACACCAGUGGCGAAGGCGCUCUGCUGGGCCAUAACUGACGCUCAUGGACGAAAGCCAGGGGAGCGAAAGGGAUUAGAUACCCCUGUAGUCCUGGCCGUAAACGAUGAACACUAGGUGUCGGGGGAAUCGACCCCCUCGGUGUCGUAGCCAACGCGUUAAGUGUUCCGCCUGGGGAGUACGCACGCAAGUGUGAAACUCAAAGGAAUUGACGGGGGCCCGCACAAGCGGUGGAGUAUGUGGGUUUAAUUCGAUGCAACGCGAAGAACCUUACCAGGGUUUGACAUCCUGCGAACCUCUUGGAAACGAAGAGGGUGCCUUCGGGAACGCAGUGACAGGUGGUGCAUGGCUGUCGUCAGCUCGUGUCGUGAAAAUGUUUGGGUUAAGUCCCGCAACGAGCGCAACCCACGUCUUUAGUUG